CGUCCCCUUCCUCUUCCUCGGGCUCCGGCCCGCCCCAGAGACUGGGGCGGAGACCAGAGUGAGGCCCCUCCUUCCAGGGGCGGGGCAAGCAGACGGGCGGGGCGGGCGCGGGAGCAAAGCUCUGAGUCACCGGCCACCAACGCCCGGGAGGGAGGGUGGUGUCGCUUACCGCCUGGACCCGGAGCGCACCACCCCCUGAGCAGAAGAACUGGUCCACCAGCGCCUCGGCGCCCAGCGGGCAAGUGGCCAGAUGGUGAAUUAGAAAAUUUCUGACGUUUCCAUCCAAUCCCGCGCUUACCUCUCCCCCUUGGCUUUCUCUUAGCCUCGUCCCUCUGCUCUUGUUUCUUUUUCACAUCUCUCCUCCUCCACCCCAGAAGAAUUUGUUCUUAUCCUGUUUUAUCCUGGUUCUUGAUCACACCAGCUUUGCCCUAGUCAUUUCCCUCACAGACUCCCCCAAAGAGUUCAGCCUCCCAGCAGGGGUCUGGCCAAGUGAGCAGAGAUUUUGCUUUCCUGUCCUUUCUUCAUUGCAUACAUCCCCAAUACCAAGAGAAGUACUAUAUUUAGAGAAGCUUCUGCUUUUAAGCUCUAGAAAUUUAGACUCUGCCUCGGCCUCCACCACUGAUAUACUAUGAAAAUUAAAUGCAUCAUUUCAUGUAAAGGAUUUAGAACAGCACAUGGCACAUA